rnacentral:lncRNA from 1 species
CGGUGUGACAUAAGCACAAUCUUUCAAUCAAUGUGAAGGAUCCAUUCGCAAGCCUACGGACUUGGUACAGGAAUCGUCCACUGCCAUGCCACUCCGUGUC